rnacentral:rRNA from 1 species
GACGAACGCUGGCGGCGUGCCUAAUACAUGCAAGUAGAAUGCUGAAGCUUGGUGCUUGCACCGAGCGGAUGAGUUGCGAACGGGUGAGUAACGCGUAGGUAACCUGCCUGGUAGCGGGGGAUAACUAUUGGAAACGAUAGCUAAUACCGCAUAAGAGUAGAUGUUGCAUGACAUUUGCUUAAAAGGUGCAAUUGCAUCACUACCAGAUGGACCUGCGUUGUAUUAGCUAGUUGGUGAGGUAACGGCUCACCAAGGCAACGAUACAUAGCCGACCUGAGAGGGUGGUCGGCCACACUUGGACUGAGACACGGCCCAGACUCCUACGGGAGGCAGCAGUAGGGAAUCUUCGGCAAUGGACGGAAGUCUGACCGAGCAACGCCGCGUGAGUGAAGAAGGUUUUCGGAUCGUAAAGCUCUGUUGUAAGAGAAGAACGAGUGUGGGAGUGGAAAGUUCACACUGUGACGGUAUCUUACCAGAAAGGGACGGCUAACUACGUG